rnacentral:rRNA from 1 species
GACGAACGCUGGCGGCGUGCUUAACACAUGCAAGUCGUACGGUAAGGCCCUUUCGGGGGUACACGAGUGGCGAACGGGUGAGUAACACGUGAGUAACCUGCCCACAACUUUGGGAUAACGCUAGGAAACUGGUGCUAAUACUGGAUAUGUGCCCCUGCUGCAUGGUGGGGGUUGGAAAGCUCCGGCGGUUGUGGAUAGACUCGCGGCCUAUCAGCUUGUUGGUGGGGUAGUGGCCUACCAAGGCGGCGACGGGUAGCCGGCCUGAGAGGGUGACCGGCCACAUUGGGACUGAGAUACGGCCCAGACUCCUACGGGAGGCAGCAGUGGGGAAUAUUGCACAAUGGGCGCAAGCCUGAUGCAGCAACGCCGCGUGCGGGAUGACGGCCUUCGGGUUGUAAACCGCUUUCAGCAGGGACGAAGCUUUUUGUGACGGUACCUGCAGAAGAAGCACCGGCUAACUACGUG